rnacentral:rRNA from 1 species
GACGAACGCUGGCGGCGUGCUUAACACAUGCAAGUCGAGCGGUAAGGCCCGUUUCGGGGGUACACGAGCGGCGAACGGGUGAGUAACGACGUGGGUGACCUGCCCUCAGCUCUGGGAUAAGCCUGGGAAACCGGGUCUAAUACCGGAUAUGACUCCAUGACGCAUGUUGUGGGGUGAAAGCCUUGUGCGGCUGAGGAUGGGCCCGCGGCCUAUCAGCUUGUUGGUGGGGU